rnacentral:misc_RNA from 1 species
GGAAGGAUCAUUACCGAGCUAAAAAAGUACCUAAAUGGAUACGAGUUCGUCUCGUUGAAGUUUUCGUGCGGGGCUUCGUCCGUAUACCGGUGCGAUACGAUGGUUAGGCGCCGAAUUGCGCGAUACCAUUCACUGGUCGAAAGUUGGACGAAGCUAACGGAGUGCUAAACUCGAUGCGAAAUGUCAAGUUUACACGGCUGCUAUAUCCGCGGGUCGUCGAGCUAGUGGAGUUUGGAUACCUACUCGCGAUCUAGAAAGGGUGAUAUAGUUAGUGGCAAGCUGUCGACAGGCUUCGAGUCGUUUUAAAACUCCGAAUCAGACGACUGGGAUACGAGGCGAGAAAGCAAGUAGUAUCGCUCUCUUAUUCUUAUUCGGGUACCUAUCGAGCUAGCGAUGGAGCUGACGUCUGGCUCUAGGCAAAAUAUCGCUAGUUUCGAAGAUCCGAGUACUGAUCCGAGUAGCCGCAAGAAUGCGUUUCCUUAGUAAGCAUUUAAGGAAGCGUUUUGUCGGUUACAGGUAAAGGAAAGGACAGAUUUAAAGAGUUACUGGCGAGACGGCCGAGUCGAAAGUUUUACUCGGUCUCGUCGAGCGACUAGUCGUUUAGUAGCUGCGAAUGCAAUCAGCGAAGUUCGAUUGGUCCGGGCUACUAGCGAUAGCUAGUGGUCGGGUAACCGCCCGAAACAUCUAAAAACGAAGUAACAUAAAAAAUAAGCGAUAGUUUUUGCUCGAUCGAGUGAAGCUAUGCGUAUAUAAUUGAAUCCUAGAGAGAUUCCAUUCUAAGCGGUGGAUCACUAGGCUCGUGGGUCGAUGAAGAACGGGGCCAGCCCCGAGAAUAAGUGCGAAUUGCAGACACAAAGAACAUCGACGUUUCGAACGCAUAUUGCGGUAUCGGGCCAGCUCGAUACCACGCCUAUCUGAGGGUCGAAUAAGAAAAUAACUCGAUUUUUUUUGCGUUCUACAGCAUGUUUAGACGCAUUAACGAGCAGUGGACUUCAGACCUUGUCUAUAGGACGGUCGUUAAGUCUUAAGAUACUCGACGAAAGGAUAGAGUAUCAGGAAUACAAGCUGGUCUUUUCGGGACUUUGUAAUAGUAAAAUGUUAUUACGAGCAAGAUAGUCCGCGAGAAUGACUGGCUGUAGCAAGUUCGCUGAAGCCAAUACGGUUUUAAGGCUUGCCUUCGUCCAAUAUCGAAGAAUGGUGACUAAAAGUCAAUCGGAAAGCGAUUGGAUUGACUUUUAGUCUUCGAUGAAAGAGUGGGCGCUCGCAAUGCUGCGUAAGAUCGAAUACUUUACGCGUACCAGGCUAUAAGCGGUACUUAAACUCGAGUUUGACCUCAGAUUAGACGUGAAAACCCGCCGAAUUUAAGCAUAUAACUAGGCGGAGGAAAAGAAAUUAACGAAGAUUUCCUUAGUAACGGCGAGUGAAAAGGAAAUAGUUCAGCGCCGAAUCCCUUAGCCCAUGGUUAAGGGACCUGUGGCGUGAAGGAGAGCCUAUCUGUCGAGUUAUAAGCUUCGGAAUAUUCCUCGAAUGGGAACCCAAAGCAGGUGCGAGGCCUGUAACGAGGCGAUACUCGUCAGUUUGCGCCUCCGUAGAGUCGGGUUACUUGAGAGUGUAGCCCAAAGUGGAAGGUAAACCCCUUCUAAAACUAAAUAUUACCACGAGACCGAUAGCGAACAAGUACCGCGAGGGAAAGUUGAAAAGAACUUUGAAGAGAGAGUUCAAAAGGGCGUGAAACCGCUUAGAAGAAAACGGACGGAGCCGUCAGGGACCUUCGGGAAUCAGUCGUACGAUACACGAAUAUAUCGCGCGUUCGGAACGCAAGUCCGACCGCGGUAGCAAGAAGUAGUGUUCGUUCGGCGCAUUUCUUGAAGGUAAGCACUGCGACCGAUACGAAAGGCCAGCGAAGCGAUCGGAUUGAGGGCGAGACCUUUCGCGAGGUUCUCGUAACCAGACCGGUCGUGUUUAGUCGUUGUACCGCAGUAUGUAUCGAGCGCCAGAGAAAUAUAUACGCCGGCGUAAACGCUCGCUCGAAUAGUGGACAGUCGGUCAAUGAUGGUUGGUACCUGCUCGCAGGUGCCGGCCGAUUCGAUCGGCUUCGAAGCUGUCGGCGACAUUCCGGCGUAUAGGUGUCCGCAGUGUCAGCGUCGGUCACCCGUCCGACCCGUCUUGAAACACGGACCAAGGAGUCUAACAUAUGCGCGAGCCAAUGGGUGGAAAACCCAAAGGCGCAAUAAAAGUAAAGGCCGUUUCGGACGGCUAAGGUACGAUCCUGGAUCCACGCGAUCCAGGCGCAGUACCGUCCCGUCCCGACCGCAUAUCGGUAGGGCGGAGACAGAGUGCAUACGUUGGGACCCGAAAGAUGGUGAACUAUGCCUGAGCAGAACGAAGCCAGAGGAAACUCUGGUGGAGGUUCGUAGCGGUUCUGACGUGCAAAUCGAUCGUCAGACUUGGGUAUAGGGGCGAAAGACUAAUCGAACCAUCUAGUAGCUGGUUCCCC